GAGUUUGAUCAUGGCUCAGAUUGAACGCUGGCGGCAGGCUUAACACAUGCAAGUCGAACGGAAGUUACUAGCUUGCUAGUAACUUUAGUGGCGAACGGGUGAGUAACAUUUAGGAAUCUGCCUCAUAACGGGGGAUAGCUCGGGGAAACUCGAAUUAAUACCGCAUACACCCUACGGGGGAAAGGUGGCGCAAGCUGCCGAUAUGAGGUGAGCCUAAAUCAGAUUAGCUAGAUGGUGGGGUAAAGGCCUACCAUGGCGACGAUCUGUAACUGGUCUGAGAGGAUGAUCAGUCACACCGGAACUGAGACACGGUCCGGACUCCUACGGGAGGCAGCAGUGGGGAAUAUUGGACAAUGGGCGAAAGCCUGAUCCAGCUAUGCCGCGUGUGUGAAGAAGGCCAUAAGGUUGUAAAGCACUUUAAGCAGGGAGGAAGAACUUUUAGUUAAUAGCUAAAAAGUGGUGACGUACCUGCAGANAGCCU
rnacentral:rRNA from 1 species